rnacentral:rRNA from 1 species
AAUCCUGACAGCCAUGCCGCGUGCAGGAAGACAGCCUCUGGGUCGUAAACUGCUUUUAUUCGGGAAUAAACCUUGUUACGUGUAGCAAGCUGAAUGUACCGAAGGAAUAAGGAUCGGCUAACUCCGUGCCAGCAGCCGCGGUAAUACGGAGGAUCCGGGCGUUAUCCGGAUUUAUUGGGUUUAAAGGGUGCGUAGGCGGCUUAUUAAGUCAGGGGUGAAAGACGGUGGCUCAACCAUCGCAGUGCCCUUGAUACUGAUGAGCUUGAAUACACUAGAGGUAGGCGGAAUGUGACAAGUAGCGGUGAAAUGCAUAGAUAUGUCACAGAACACCGAUUGCAAAGGCAGCUUACUAUGGUGUGAUUGACGCUGAGGCACGAAAGCGUGGGGAUCAAACAGGAUUAGAUACCCUGGUAGUCCACGCCCUAAACGAUGAAUACUCGCUGUUAGCGAUACACAGUUAGCGGCUAAGCGAAAGCGUUAAGUAUUCCACCUGGGGAGUACGCCCGCAAGGGGUGAAACUCAGG